CGGGCGCUGCGCGGCGCGUCAGGUAGCAAUUCCCUGGGGCCGUAAAUAUCUUCUAGGGAGCUGUCCCUGCCUAACCCCUGGGUUUGGUAUAUGGCGCCCACCUGCACCUGCAGGUCACAGAGGACUUCAAAGCCAACGGUCGAGGCGGCCCCGUC
rnacentral:other from 1 species